AUUGCGGAUCUCAAAGGCUAUGCUUUUGCUAGGUGAAUGCAGCGACACAUCUAUCAUCGACACAUUGUAUACACGUCAUAGACGUCAAGUUUUGGACACCACCUAUUACGGCUAAGUCAAAGCUUGUAUGACCGCCCGACCGAAAGGCUGUUCUAUCAACACCAGCCGCGCUGUAUUUUGGCUAUGCAGCACUCUCGGCGCAUUGCUACCCGAUCUAAAAGGAAAGGCCGAAUCGACAUCGACAUCUUCGGCGCGUGUUUUUUGUUCGUUUUUUGUUAGGCCGGCGCUGAUCAGCGCCAAUCAGCGCUGUUUGUUUGGCAUUUCGCUUCCACCACGUGCGUGUCACCAAGUUUGUUUGAGUGUUCUGUGUCACCAGUUAUCUCAUUCUUGUUUUGGUGUGCCGCCGGGUGUGUCUGCUGUCUCCACGACCUUCCUACCUCCCGUGGCAAAUGAAAAGCGAUUGAGGCAUUCCAGCUAUCCAGCAAAGGCAGAUGAUGCAGUUACAUCAAGGAUUCCACCACCGCCGCGGUAACUCCUGUGCACUGUGAUCUGAAGCGCACACCAGGAUCCAUGAAGGACAGCAUCUGCUUGAAUUCCAUUUGUGCCCUUGGAGCUUCUCGCAAACGUUCAAGCUGAAGCAAAACCUGCACAGCUACACAGGCAUAAGUCCAUUUGAGUGCCCUUCAUGCCAUCAGAGCUUAUCAGAAAAAAAUCUGAAACACACGUGUGCAUCCACACAGGCAUUCCAGCUGUCCAGCAAAUGCAGGUGGUGCAAUUACAUCAAGGACACCACCACCGCUGCAACUCUUGUGCCUAUGAGGCGGAUAAACUGAUCUGAAGUGCACAUCAGGAUCCAUACAGGGCAGCGUCUGCUUGAAUUCCAUUUGUGCCCUCGGGGAUUCUCCCAAACAGUUCAAGCUGAAGCAAAACCUGCGCACCCACCCAAGCAAAAGGCCAUUUGAUUUCUCUUCAUGCCCUCAGAGCUUCUCAGAAAAGUUAAUCUGAAACACUUAUGCAUCCACACAGGUGAGAUGUCAUUUCAUUGCCAGUUAUGCCCUAAGAGCUUCUCCCGAAAAGGUACUCUGAACCGACAUCUGCGCAUCCACACAGGCGAGAGGCCAUUUCAAUGCCCUUCGUGCCCUCAGAGUUUCGCACGCAAGUACACACUACAGAAUCACGUGCGCAUACACACAGGCGAGAGGCCGUUUGAGUGCCCUUCAUGCCCUCAAAGCUUCUCACAAAAGUCCACAUUUAAGGUUCACCUGAACUUCCACUAAAAUGACAGGCUGUUUCAGUGCCCUAGUGUCCUUAGAACUUGUCAUGGAAGUCUGUGCUAAACCGACACUCGCGUAUCCACACAAGCACAAGGACAGUUUAAUGCCCUGCAUGCCAUCAGCAAUCCUUACAAAAGUCCUGACUGAAGUAUAACCUGUGCAUCCACUCGGCGAGAGGCCGUUUCAGUGCUCGUCAUGUCCUCGGAGGUUCUUGCGGAAGUUCGUACUGAAUUGACACAUGCACAAUCCACUUAAGAGGAAGCUUAAGCUUGGGCCCUACUAUGAUGCCGCCUAUUCAUAUCUAUACAUAUAAAAUGCAGAAACGCUUUUCUGUGAUAAUUCAUGGACCGAUUUUAAUUAAGUUUGUUACAUUUGAGAGAGAAAGGUAAAUUUUAGUGGUUGUUGGAAGCGGGAUUUCCACUUAGGGUGCCAAUUUAUUAAAAGUAAUUUUCAAAAAUUCAAAAGUGAAAAAAAAAAAUAAAAGCACAAAGUUUUUAAAAUAAUAGCUCUGCAUCUAGAAUAGGUGUCACAGUUCUGUAAACAGCAUGCGUUAGAUCAUUCAAAGCGGAUGAAUUUGAUAUGUCAAUUUAUAUCUUACAUGAAUUCGUUACGUUGGGUACAAGGGUACUGCAAAAUCUGUAUUUCCAUAUUACUGCAUUCUUUGAGAUUCAUGUGUAACAUAUCAAUUUUGUCCACUUUAGAUGCGCUAUUAGAUGCAAUUCACAGAAUUGUGAUAUCACUUUUCGUGGCUGCGUUACCAAGUUGUAAACUUAUUAGUUUAGUUUUUUGAAAAUUUGCAAUUUUUGCCAAUAUUUAAUAAAACAUUGAUGACAUGAAAAAAAAUUCGAAACCAACAGUCACUAGAAUUUAAGUUCUUUUUAAUGCAACAAACCUAGUCAAAUUUGGUGCAGUGGUUGCCGAGAAAAAUGGAUUCUCCUUUUACAUGUAGAUAGAGGCACCCGAGCUAAAGCUUCCUCUUAAGCGAGAGGCCAUUUCAGUGCCACUUAUACACUCAAAACUUGCACAUAAGUGUGACCUUAAUAGGCACCUUGGCACCACAAGUGCACGUGAAUGGUGCAUUUGACUUUUUGACUGGUCGCCGAGUAAGAUGUGAACUUUUUGUAUAAGUAGAGUUGAAGUGCGAAUUUGACACAGCGAAUAGGAAAAUCAGACAUAGACAAGUGCUUACUUGCAACUAUUUUAUAAAAGAAACAACCGGUACAUAUAAACUGGGGUUGGGACGAAAAAACAGGAAACAUGAAAAGCAAGAAGAAACGAGAAGCGUGCAUAACUUGGCACUGAUGCGCAGCAUGUCGACUUGGGAAAGUCAUUUCUUUUGGCAAAAGAUGCAAUGCCGUGACGCUUGCACAUAUACCGUGCAUCCUUUCACUAUUUUCUGCUUCAAAUAUUUCUUGUGUUCGCUGGCGUGGGCACCUGUACAUUACCAAGCUUUCUUGAAAAUCGGAUUUGCACUAGCAUGCGAUGGCAGUGGGCUGCCAGUGGCAAUCAGAUGCAGUUUAUUUUUUUAAGAUAUUCGCAUGUUUGCGCGAGCUCACGCUUAGGCACUGCCCUUUCUGGCUUAAGUACAACUUGCGACAUGCGAAGAAUACAGUAAACAAUGCCGGUUGCACAUGGCACAUACUGCUGUCUAUGUUCGAAAACCCGACUUUUAAAAAAGCUCGGUAAUAUACAGGUUCCCAAGCUAAUGCACAUGAGAAAUCGUUGAAGCAGAAAAAUCAAAAUGCACGGGGUUCGUUUUUUCAUGCAUUCUCAAUGUAAUAUAUAUAUAUAGUAUGUUAUUUCACUUAUAUACGAUACAACUUUAACAAUAUUAUUAUAUCGUUUGGAGGUAGCGGUUGUUUAUGUCUGGUUCCCUGUCCACUGUGUCAAUUUCACACCUCAACUCUACUCAUGGAUUACCAAAAAGCCUGCUCCCAAUCAUUGCUGAGCACGUUCUGUUAGAGUCAUAUUUUUACCACCUGUAGUACUACACAUGUAUGAGUCAUUGGAGGUCUUUUCAGUUUUCAUUAUUAUGAUGUUUAGGCUUUUCAUUAUCUCGCAUGAAAUCACCUCUUUGCUGCUGUCAAGCGUUUCACUGCUUAUUAUGAAAUCAGUUGUGUAAGUUCGUUUAAGUGCAACAAAUAAAAUUGUGAAUGGGUAUUGUUAACAGUUGAUAUUUCAAUGCUUGUACUAAUAGCAUGUAAUGUUUAAAUCAAUUAAGAUUUAAUUAAUGCAGUAAUGACAUUUUUCUCAGCAAUUGAAAUUAUUAUGAAAAAACUGUUAUUCAUGUGCUUUUUUGAUUCAUAGUAUGGUAGAACUAUGGUUUCACCGAUACUGAAUGCACUGGAAUUAUUUUUUUCCGGUAAAGGUUCGUGCAUACCUUUAAUAACCUUGAAAAUUGCCUAAUAUUGCUACACACAUGUGGUAUUUGGUUGUUUGAACGAGGUGCGCAAGCUGCAUCACUUGAGAAAAGAAGAGGAAGAAGGA